CUUUUUGUUGAGGUCCCUCCGUAUCGAAACCGGACCAUUUCCCACCCAGCCAAAGUCAACUUCUACGUCAUCAACGGGAAGAAGAAACGCAGUCAGCCUCAGCACUUCACCUACACUCCUGUGAUAGCCGUUAAAGCAGAACCACUGGAUGACUACCAGUUGAAUUCGUACAUCUACUCAGACAAUCAAUCUCUGGCUGGCCUGUCAAUGAAGUCACUCUACCAUCACCUGGAGCAGGAGAGCAACCUUCAAGCCUUGAGUGUUUCUCCAACAAUGUACCAUCUAACCACUGUAGACCCCAGAGCCCACGUGUUAAUCCCUGAUCCACUGGACGACCAACCAGUUUAUUACCAGUCUAGAGCCGGCACUCUGAUCAACAACCCUGUGCUGUACCACACUGCAGACCAACGUUACAGCAACUGUGGUGCCACCCUCCUCGGUGGUUCCCAGAUGGCUUCCCACCCUGCCUCCACCCCCAGCCAGUGUGUCAGUGCCAGAACCCCUGUGGGCAAAGUGGGUGAGUGUCCUCAGGUUGGUGAUUCCUUUGAGGCCUGUUUGAUGUCAAGACAUCAGAGUUUUGUGCAGACAGCAUUGCCACUGGGAAAGUCACCACCUUCAAGAUUCAUCCAAGGUGACGUUCAAGGGAAGGCUGUAAGCCGAGUGGAGCCUCUGACCCAGAUCAGCUCUGGAAGGGGAAACCAUGAGGAACAAGCUACAGAGAAAGUCACAGUCAAACAAGAAAACCUCCGCUAUGCUUACUUGGAGGAUGUAAAUGACAUCAUAAGAAGAGACAUGAAAGGCCACAAUGGAAAGUGAUCCAGGAGGCCUGCGGCAGCCCUGAUGUCCAUCAGAUUAAGCAUAAUUUGUAAAAUGUUGGAAUAUGUAAGCAAUAAAAAAAAUGGAUUGGUGGCAGGAAUUUAAGGCACAUUAUAGAAACUGAUCCACUGUAGGCCUAUAUGAUGACUUUAGACUUUUUAGCCUUAGCAAAGAUAGCAUAUAGGACAUGUGUCAUACCUUAUACUGUGUUAGCUAUUGUAUCUUUAUUUUAACCAGUUUGACUUAUUGAGUUUAUCUAUAUAUUUGUACAAUUGCUCUUUGUUAGCAUGUAUAAAAUACUUUAUAUUAAAUAAAUUCUGUUUAUAUUAAUCAGUGUGUUUGCAUUAAGAGCAGAAAUGGACUGAAGAGUAAAUCAAAUAUUCUCAACUAACACGUUUUAAAAACAACGAUCUAAUACAACU
rnacentral:lncRNA from 1 species